ensembl:lncRNA
CGGUGGUUGCUCUGAUUCAUUCAGGCCGGAUUCUACCGUCCUUACUCACACAGAGGAGAUCUGUGCCUCACUGAUGGGCCCCGCUGCUUUCACUGGACUGAAAGGCAGUAAUCAAUGCUCACAGAGCAGGCCUGGGAAAGCAGAUGACCAGAUUCCUGCACCUUGAAAAACAGUGACUGGCUGAACCGCAGAACUCCCUGUCGUGAGAUAUUCCUCAGACCGAAAUCCAAAGUAAUACUCGGAAGACAACGAGGACUUCCUGUGCAAGGUACUCCUGCUGGGUUAGUAUCACAAAUGGAAACAGAUGAUGCAAGUCGUCCCCAGCAAGUAGCACCUGGUCGUGAAGCAUGAAGAAACAGGUUUUGAAUCACCAAGGAAAUGGCAUCAAAAUACACCCCGGUAAGGACAUGCUGGGAAACCUUGCAUCACAUCCCAUAAGUCGCACGGCCAGCUGGCUGUAGCAUGUGACAGCACUGCUCUGAAAGACAUGCCUGUGGAGCUUUUGGAUGCUGUACAGGUGACAUGCCUCAGCAGUUGUGCCAAGUGCUCAUUUAUCCUCCUCAGCGUCCUGUGUACAACUGUGUCCACUGGAUGCACAAGGUAGACUCUGCCAAAAAGACAGACACCAAAGAACUUUACUCGUCUGUUUCCCAGGCUGCAGCAAGCAGCGCUGUAGGAAC